rnacentral:rRNA from 1 species
UACGGGGGGGGCAAGCGUUGUUCGGAAUUACUGGGCGUAAAGGGCUCGUAGGUUGCCAACUAAGUCAGACGUGAAAUCCCUCAGCUUAACUGGGGAACUGCGUCUGAUACUGGAUGGCUUGAGUUUGGGAGAGGGAUGCGGAAUUCCAGGUGUAGCGGUGAAAUGCGUAGAUAUCUGGAGGAACACCGGUGGCGAAGGCGGCAUCCUGGACCAACACUGACACUGAGGAGCGAAGGCCAGGGGAGCAAACGGG